rnacentral:rRNA from 1 species
GAUGAACGCUGGCGGCGUGCUUAACACAUGCAAGUCGAACGGAAAGGCCCAAGCUUGCUUGGGUACUCGAGUGGCGAACGGGUGAGUAACACGUGGGUGAUCUGCCCCGCACUUCGGGAUAAGCCUGGGAAACUGGGUCUAAUACCGGAUAGGACAGUGGCUUGGAUGCCAUUGUGGAAAGUUUUUUCGGUGUGGGAUGAGCUCGCGGCCUAUCAGCUUGUUGGUGGGGUAAUGGCCUACCAAGGCGUCGACGGGUAGCCGGCCUGAGAGGGUGUACGGCCACAUUGGGACUGAGAUACGGCCCAGACUCCUACGGGAGGCAGCAGUGGGGAAUAUUGCACAAUGGGCGCAAGCCUGAUGCAGCGACGCCGCGUGGGGGAUGACGGCCUUCGGGUUGUAAACUCCUUUCGCUAGGGACGAAGCGUUAUGUGACGGUACCCAGAGAAGAAGCACCGGCUAACUACGUG